rnacentral:rRNA from 1 species
AUUGAACGCUGGCGGCAUGCUUUACACAUGCAAGUCGAACGGUAACAGGGUGCUUGCACCGCUGACGAGUGGCGAACGGGUGAGUAAUGCGUCGGAACGUGCCGAGUAGUGGGGGAUAACGCAGCGAAAGUUGUGCUAAUACCGCAUACGUACUGAGGUAGAAAGUGGGGGACCUUCGGGCCUCACGCUAUUCGAGCGGCCGACGUCUGAUUAGCGAGUAGGUGAGGUAAAGGCUCACCCAGGCCACGAUCAGUAGCGGGUCUGAGAGGAUGGUCCGCCGAACUGGGACUGAGACACGGACCAGACUCCUACGGGAGGCAGCAGUGGGGAAUGUUGGACAAUGGGCGAAAGCCUGAUCAAGCCAUGCCGCGUGUCUGAAGAAGGCCUUCGGGUUGUAAAGGACUUUUGUCAGGGAGGAAAUCCCUAGUGCUAAUAACACUGGGGGAUGACAGUACCUGAAGAAUAAGCACCGGCUAACUACGUGCCAGCAGCCGCCGUAA